rnacentral:rRNA from 1 species
AUUGAACGCUGGCGGCAUGCCUUACACAUGCAAGUCGAACGGCAGCACGGGUGCUUGCACCUGGUGGCGAGUGGCGAACGGGUGAGUAAUACAUCGGAACGUACCUUAUCGUGGGGGAUAACGCAGCGAAAGUUGCGCUAAUACCGCAUACGCCCUGAGGGGGAAAGCGGGGGACCGUAAGGCCUCGCGCGAUUAGAGCGGCCGAUGUCUGAUUAGCUUGUUGGUGAGGUAAAAGCUCACCAAGGCGAUGAUCAGUAGCUGGUCUGAGAGGACGAUCAGCCCCACUGGGACUGAGACACGGCCCAGACUCCUACGGGAAGCAGCAGUGGGGAAUUUUGGACAAUGGGGGCAACCCUGAUCCAGCAAUGCCGCGUGAGUGAAGAAGGCCUUCGGGUUGUAAAGCUCUUUUGUCAGGGAAGAAACAGCAGCUCUAACACAGUCUGCGAAUGACGGUACCUGAAGAAUAAGCACCGGCUAACUACGUGCCAGCAGCCGCCGUAA